rnacentral:rRNA from 1 species
AACGUAGGAGACAAACGUUAUCCGGAGUUACUGGGCGUAAAGGGCGUGUAGGCGGUUUGUUAAGUCUGGCGUGAAAGCUCUCGGCUAAACCGGGAGAGGUCGUUGGAUACUGGCAAACUAGAGGACGGGAGAGGCGUGUGGAAUUCCGGGUGUAGUGGUGAAAUGCGUAGAGAUCCGGAGGAACACCAGUGGCGAAGGCGACACGCUGGGCCGUACCUGACGCUAAAGCGCGACAGCAUGGGGAGCAAACGGG